rnacentral:pre_miRNA from 1 species
UCCUCAUUUCACGUGCUCUCUCACCGGUCAGAGUGGGCGAGAGAGUGUACGAAAUGAAGAGA